ensembl:snRNA U6 U6 spliceosomal RNA
AUGCUCCUUGCAGCAGCACCUAUAUUAAAAUCAGAACAACACAGAGAUUAGCAUGGCCCCUGCACAUGCAACGAUGACUCACAAAUUCAUGAAGUAUUCCCUAAUUAA